rnacentral:tRNA from 3 species
GCCGGAAUGGCGGAAUGGCAGACGCGGAGCACUCAAAAUGCUUUGUUCGAAAGGACGUGUGGGUUCAAAUCCCACUUUCGGCACCA